GUGGGGAAUCUUAGACAAUGGGGGAAACUCUGAUCUAGCCAUGCCGCGUGAGCGAUGAAGGCCUUAGGGUUGUAAAGCUCUUUCAGCUGGGAAGAUAAUGACGGUACCAGCAGAAGAAGCCCCGUCUAACUCCGUGCCAGCAGCCGCGGUAAUACGGAGGGGGCUAGCGUUGUUCGGAAUUACUGGGCGUAAAGCGCACGUAGGCGGAACCGAAAGUCAGAGGUGAAAUCCCAGGGCUCAACCUUGGAACUGCCUUUGAAACUCCGGUUCUUGAGUUCGGGAGAGGUGAGUGGAAUUCCGAGUGUAGAGGUGAAAUUCGUAGAUAUUCGGAGGAACACCAGUGGCGAAGGCGGCUCACUGGCUCGAUACUGACGCUGAGGUGCGAAAGCGUGGGGAGCAAACAGGAUUAGAAACCCGGGUAGUCC
rnacentral:rRNA from 1 species